UUUAGCUAACAAUACUCCUCGAUAUUAUAGCCGUGGUCUCGAUAGAAGUGACAGUACUUCGAUCCCUUUGGCUUGGCUUCGUCCUCAUUUUUUCCAACCAGCGUAUAUAGUCUUGGCCUUUGAUCUCCAUCAAGAUCUAGGUGCGAGGGGCAGAGAAAGGUGUGUAGUCAUGGAAGUGCUACUGGAGACUCCUCAUCCUCUACUGCUUCUUAGGAUAACUAUUUGUUCUCUCUUUGCGAGCUCCAUAAUCCUCCUCACAGGC
rnacentral:lncRNA from 1 species